CCAAUGAAUAUGGUAAAUCCCUUAUCUGUCGCGUUUUCGUCUGUUUUAGUUGUCUUCUUCCCUUUUCUUUUUGAGUGUCUGAAACUGUUUUUCACUGAAACUGUUCUUCACCACCGAGUGUCACCUGUCAAAGGGAUUUUCGAACUGAUCUCCACCGCCGCCGUCUCACUGAAGGCUACAGACUCGUGUCGACCGCGACUCACAAAACCCUUCAAACUCAUUUCUGAUCUAUUGAAAUUAUGUGAAAAUCAAAGCAACAAACUAAAAUCCGUUGUAACGUCGUUGGUUCAAGGUAUUGGUUGGCUGACACCGUUGAUUCAAUUUCUCCGGCCGCCGUGCUUGCUCCUUCAAGUUCUAGGUAAGUGUCUCUCCUCCUCCUUCCUCCUUCCUCCUCCUUCCUCCUUCUUGCUGUUUCUUUUUCCUAUUUGAAAUACAUUAGUCUUUCUCUUUUAUCUCUCGAUCGCUGCUAUUUUUCUGAAUUAUUGGAUUAUUUUUCCUUGUAAUUCUGUGUUUUAAUUUCUAGAAUUUGUGUAUUUGUCAUUGUUUUUUUGUCAUUUGGACGAAAUUAUGGUAAUUAUGUAAGUAAUUGUCUUUAAAAUUCAUUUAAUUUCAUAAUUUCUUUUGUGAAUGAGUAGAAAUGUGGAAUUCCAUGGUAUAGUUGAGUUGUUUGAGGCUACUUAAAUGUACUCAGAUGAGAGAGUUUUAGGCUGGCGGUUUUUAUGAUAAUUCCAGAAAACUAUGUGAAUAGUUGUGGCAAAUAACUCCUGUCUCACCUUAUCAGAACCUUGGCUUGAGUUUAUCUUGCGGAGUAAACUGAUCCUUUUUUGGAGUUUGGUGACUGAUGUGUCUAAAUUGUUUUGGUGUUUUCUACUGUGAGGCUCUGAACGCUACAGGCAGGAAAUUGGUUCGAAAUGAUGUUUCUUUGGUGGGUGGAGAUGAAACCAAAAGUAAAUUAGCCAACCGUGUAAGAAUUUUUUCUGUAGAGGGUUUGUUUACAUGUUGUUGGAGUUUGGUUUUGAGGGUUUGUCUAAAUGGUUUUCUAUCUGUUUGACUUGGUUAGUGUAGGAAAUGUGAAACUGGUCAAAAACUAUCUUUCAAGGGAGUAAAAGGUGUUUUCCCUAGUAGAAAAACAUAUAAGUAAUUGUCUUUAAAAUUCAUCAAAUUUUUUAUCUUUUUCUUUAACUAAUUGCUCCGAAAUCUUUAUCUAUAAGAAACAUAAGUGGUCCAGGUUUAGUGAUUUAUAAGGUAAAGCAUUAUAGCACUUCUACAUUUCAUGAGUGCAUGUUCAAGAAAAAUUCAAGUUCUUCUUCCUGUCACUCUUAUUGCGGUUAUGGCUUAUCUGUGAUGUGUUAUAUGGUUUGAGUCACUCUUAUAGUUAUCGGGAUCUAAGCAAUUUGGCCUACAGUUAAGUAAUACUUGUAUGAUCUUACUAGCUUCCACGUGAGCAUAUGCAGAUGCAUUUUAGAUAUAGUACAGAUAAAUUUUGGUCGCCAUAUUUUGAUCUCUGGACUUCGGUUUUGUAAAACGUACAGUGGUGGGUUUAGUGUAGUUUUGGUUUGUUUUGAUGUCUUCCUGGCUUCAUUAUAAGCAUAUGCAGAUUCCUUUACCUUCUUCUAGCAUAUUCUGGACAAGCUGCUUAUCUGGUAAAUCAUCAAAACCAUGUGGAAGAUGCAUUUUAUCAUUCAAUACCAAGUCUCUCUUAGCUCAACCUCUCUUAUUUUUUGUGCAUUGACAUAGAUACAUAAAAGUACCAGAUACUAUAAGAAGAAAAAAAAGGACAGGAAGUAAAUUCAAGUAGGGGGCAGGUCUAAAACUUUUGUAAAGAUGACCGUAGGGCUCGAGAUAAUUAGUCAUAGGAAGGACCAGGUUGUUACUUCAACUGCACUUGCAUUCAGCUUAUACUUCUGCAAACGAAAUUCGAGAUCUGGCGAGGCUUUGAUUGCAAUAUCAAGGUCUGCAAAAAUCGAAGUAUACAAAGAUGAAAGAAUUGAAUACAUAAGUUUUAAUCUCAGUCCAUUCUUCGUUCCUGAUCUGCUGCCAGCCCACUCUGAUCUUGACACACUCUGAUCUGCUGCCAGCCCAUAUGUUCCACGUUUCGCCUAGUACUCUUGGAACAACAGCUUCUCUGUUGGAUUUUGAUCCUUUUCUUCAGUAUCAGUUUGAUCAGUAUUCAAAUUAGAUCCAUUAUCCUCCUUAGAGACUGAUCACAGGGGUUAGUUUGACCCGGAAAUAUAAUAACAAAUAAUGGCAGAGGAGUUGGUGUGUGAUGACUGAUGAGAGGGUGGUGAAACUUUUUGCCGGGGAGGGAGCUGCAAAGGAGAGAACAGCCUUACAUGCUGUCCUGUGGAAUUGGUUUGCACGUCGCUAAGAAGAGAGUCUAUCACUGAUGAGCAAAUUGAUGAAGUACGGAACAAAUGAGCAUCAUACUUCACCGAACAUUGUGUGUGAAUAAUACUUCAUCGAUCUCUUCUUGUGGAUGUUUUUUGCUAUUGGCUUAUUUUUGGUGUAAAUUGUAAUGCAUAGAAGACAUAGGUAAUUAGGUAUGAUCGAGUUGGUUUAUUUUUGUAAAAAUGUUAUAGUUGGUGGUAUUUUGUAUUUGUAUAAAUACAGUUUCUGAAAGUUUAUGUUGAUUGAUGAUAGGACAUUGUACAA